GACAGAGGUCCCGAGCGUUAGGCGGAAUCACUGGGCUUAAAGCGUGUGUAGGCGGAUCGGUAAGUACCUUGUGAAAUCCCACAGCUUAACUGUGGAACUGCUUGGUAUACUGCCAGUCUUGAGCCAGCUAGGGGCUACCGGAACAGACGGUGGAGCGGUGAAAUGCGUAGAUAUCGUCUGGAACGCCAAUGGUGAAAACAGGUAGCUGGGGCUGUGCUGACGCUGAGACACGAAAGCCAGGGGAGCAAACGGG
rnacentral:rRNA from 1 species